GUAGGGAAUCUUGCGCAAUGGGCGAAAGCCUGACGCAGCCAUGCCGCGUGAAUGAUGAAGGUCUUAGGAUUGUAAAAUUCUUUCACCGGGGACGAUAAUGACGGUACCCGGAGAAGAAGCCCCGGCUAACUUCGUGCCAGCAGCCGCGGUAAUACGAAGGGGGCUAGCGUUGCUCGGAAUUACUGGGCGUAAAGGGAGCGUAGGCGGAUAGUUUAGUCAGAGGUGAAAGCCCAGGGCUCAGCCUUGGAAUUGCCUUUGAUACUGGCUAUCUUGAGUAUGGAAGAGGUAUGUGGAACUCCGAGUGUAGAGGUGAAAUUCGUAGAUAUUCGGAAGAACACCAGUGGCGAAGGCGACAUACUGGUCCAUUACUGACGCUGAGGCUCGAAAGCGUGGGGAGCAAACAGGAUUAGAAACCCUGGUAGUCC
rnacentral:rRNA from 1 species